AACGAACGCUGGCGGCGCGCCUAAUACAUGCAAGUCGAGCGAGAAGACGUAGCAAUACGUUUGUAAAGCGGCGAACGGGUGAGGAAUACAUGGGCAACCUACCCUCGAGUGGGGAAUAACUAGCCGAAAGGUUAGCUAAUACCGCGUACGCUCCUUGGACUUCGGUUCAGGGAGGAAAGCGAUACCGUGGGUAUCGCGCUCUUGGAUGGGCUCAUGUCCUAUCAGCUUGUUGGUGAGGUAACGGCUCACCAAGGCUUCGACGGGUAGCUGGUCUGAGAGGACGAUCAGCCACACUGGCACUGCGACACGGGCCAGACUCCUACGGGAGGCAGCAGUAAGGAAUAUUGCGCAAUGGGCGAAAGCCUGACGCAGCGACGCCGCGUGGGGGGA
rnacentral:rRNA from 1 species